rnacentral:snRNA from 1 species
AGUUUUGCACAGUGGCCAUACCGUGGCCAGUGAGGUUUAUCCAAGGCGUGAUUAUUACUACUUGAAAGAGAAAAGUAAAGAAACCGCUGUGACCAUUCAUUCAAGAUCAGAACGUGGAAAAUACAAAGUAU